UAAAGAAUUUCGGUAUGGGAUGGGGAUGCGUUCCAUUAGUUAGUUGGCGGGGUAACGGCCCACCAAGACGACGAUGGAUAGGGGUUCUGAGAGGAAGGUCCCCCACAUUGGAACUGAGACACGGUCCAAACUCCUACGGGAGGCAGCAGUGAGGAAUAUUGGUCAAUGGACGAGAGUCUGAACCAGCCAAGUAGCGUGAAGGAUGACUGCCCUAUGGGUUGUAAACUUCUUUUAUAUGGGAAUAAAACGUUCCACGUGUGGGAUUUUGUAUGUACCAUAUGAAUAAGGAUCGGCUAACUCCGUGCCAGCAGCCGCGGUAAUACGGAGGAUCCGAGCGUUAUCCGGAUUUAUUGGGUUUAAAGGGAGCGUAGGUGGAUUGUUAAGUCAGUUGUGAAAGUUUGCGGCUCAACCGUAAAAUUGCAGUUGAAACUGGCAGUCUUGAGUACAGUAGAGGUGGGCGGAAUUCGUGGUGUAGCGGUGAAAUGCUUAGAUAUCACGAAGAACUCCGAUUGCGAAGGCAGCUCACUGGACUGCAACUGACACUGAGGCUCGAAAGUGUGGGUAUCAAACAGGAUUAGAUACCCUGGUAGUCCACACAGUAAACGAUGAAUACUCGCUGUUUGCGAUAU
rnacentral:rRNA from 1 species